rnacentral:tRNA from 1 species
GGUCCCAUCGUCUAGUGGUUAGGACUCAAGAUUUUCAUUCUUGCAACAUGGGUUCGAGUCCCGUUGGGAUCACCA